rnacentral:rRNA from 1 species
CCCUACGGGGCGCACCAGGCGAGGACACUCCAGAAAAACCACCCUGCCGGGAUCAAAAAGACCAGGGCGGCGAUGUUCAUCGCCACCAUCACCGGAAUAUUCUUCUUCAAAUCCAACGACCCUGCCAGGCGAUAAUUCGCCGGUAAGUUCUGCACAGGUUUCAUCCUGGAAAGAUCGGCUUCCAGGUAGGAUAAGGUGUCCAGGUUGGACGAAGCGUCAGGGUAGGGUGUGGCGUCCAGGUCUUGAAAAUGGGCGUAUUCGCAGCAGUGGCAUCCGUGGUGGGCGAAACCAGGGUUUCUUUGACGCCGGGAGAUGCCGACGGUUUGAGCGUAGGGAUAUCCGUUUUGAGCGAAGGUGUUCCGGGAGUGACGCUGGAAGUGGCGGUGACAUCACCAGGUGCAAAAGCAGCGGUUGUUUCGGUAGGAAUUGGCGGGGGGGC